rnacentral:misc_RNA from 1 species
GUAGGUGAACCUGCGGAAGGAUCAUUAACACAAUACAUUUACCCAAAUGUAUUUUUAACCCCCCUUUGCAAACUUGUUUCAUAUUGUUUUCCCGGAUUUUCGAGCGAUUCGUCGCUUACAAAAUCUGUGGUUUCAAACCUUUUUUUAUAACCCCUUGAACUGUCUUGGACUGAAACUCUGAGCUGUGACACACAUACACGGUAAAAACUGUACUUGUGUGUCAUAUCUCUGCCAUAUAUCAAACGCUGAACAACUCUUAGCAACGGAUAUCUUGGCUCUC